AGACUUUGAUCAUGGCUCAGGACGAACGCUGGCGGCGUGCUUAACACAUGCAAGUCGAACGGGGUGUUUAUUUCGGUAAACACCAAGUGGCGAACGGGUGAGUAACGCGUAAGCAAUCUACCUUCAAGAUGGGGACAACACUUCGAAAGGGGUGCUAAUACCGAAUGAAUGUAAGAGUAUCGCAUGAGACACUUACUAAAGGAGGCNUCUGACAUAAGCUUCCGCUUGAAGAUGAGCUUGCGUCUGAUUAGCUAGUUGGUGAGGGUAAAGGCCCACCAAGGCGACGAUCAGUAGCCGGUCUGAGAGGAUGAACGGCCACAUUGGGACUGAGACACGGCCCAGACUCCUACGGGAGGCAGCAGUGGGGAAUCUUCCGCAAUGGGCGAAAGCCUGACGGAGCAACGCCGCGUGAACGAUGAAGGUCUUAGGAUCGUAAAGUUCUGUUGUUAGGGACGAAGGGUAAGAAUCAUAAUAAGGUUUUUAUUUGACGGUACCUAACGAGGAAGCCACGGCUAACUACGUGCCAGCAGCCGCGGUAAUACGUAGGCGGCAAGCGUUGUCCGGAAUUAUUGGGCGUAAAGGGAGCGCAGGCGGGAAACUAAGCGGAUCUUAAAAGUGCGGGGCUCAACCCCGUGAUGGGGUCCGAACUGGUUUUCUUGAGUGCAGGAGAGGAAAGCGGAAUUCCCAGUGUAGCGGUGAAAUGCGUAGAUAUUGGGAAGAACACCAGUGGCGAAGGCGGCUUUCUGGACUGUAACUGACGCUGAGGCUCGAAAGCUAGGGUAGCGAACGGGAUUAGAUACCCCGGUAGUCCUAGCCGUAAACGAUGGAUACUAGGUGUGGGAGGUAUCGACCCCUUCCGUGCCGGAGUUAACGCAAUAAGUAUCCCGCCUGGGGAGUACGGCCGCAAGGUUGCAACUCAAAGGAAUUGAU
rnacentral:rRNA from 1 species